UGAGCUCGAUGAGUAGGGCGGGACACGUGGUAUCCUGUCUGAAUAUGGGGGGACCAUCCUCCAAGGCUAAAUACUCCUGACUGACCGAUAGUGAACCAGUACCGUGAGGGAAAGGCGAAAAGAACCCCGGCGAGGGGAGUGAAAAAGAACCUGAAACCGUGUACGUACAAGCAGUGGGAGCACAGAGCAAUCUGUGUGACUGCGUACCUUUUGUAUAAUGGGUCAGCGACUUAUAUUCUGUAGCAAGGUUAACCGAAUAGGGGAGCCGAAGGGAAACCGAGUCUUAACUGGGCGUUAAGUUGCAGGGUAUAGACCCGAAACCCGGUGAUCUAGCCAUGGGCAGGUUGAAGGUUGGGUAACACUAACUGGAGGACCGAACCGACUAAUGUUGAAAAAUUAGCGGAUGACUUGUGGCUGGGGGUGAAAGGCCAAUCAAACCGGGAGAUAGCUGGUUCUCCCCGAAAGCUAUUUAGGUAGCGCCUCGUGAAUUCAUCUCCGGGGGUAGAGCACUGUUUCGGCAAGGGGGUCAUCCCGACUUACCAACCCGAUGCAAACUGCGAAUACCGGAGAAUGUUAUCACGGGAGACACACGGCGGGUGCUAACGUCCGUCGUGAAGAGGGAAACAACCCAGACCGCCAGCUAAGGUCCCAAAGUCAUGGUUAAGUGGGAAACGAUGUGGGAAGGCCCAGACAGCCAGGAUGUUGGCUUAGAAGCAGCCAUCAUUUAAAGAAAGCGUAAUAGCUCACUGGUCGAGUCGGCCUGCGCGGAAGAUGUAACGGGGCUAAACCAUGCACCGAAGCUGCGGCAGCGACACUGUGUGUUGUUGGGUAGGGGAGCGU
rnacentral:rRNA from 1 species